rnacentral:rRNA from 1 species
UACGCAGGGUGCAAGCGUUGUCCGGAAUUAUUGGGCGUAAAGAGCUCGUAGGCGGUUUGUCGCGUCGGCUGUGAAAACCUGGGGCUCAACCCCGGGCCUGCAGCCGAUACGGGCAAACUAGAAUUCGGUAGGGGAGACUGGAAUUCCUGGUGUAGCGGUGAAAUGCGCAGAUAUCAGGAGGAACACCGGUGGCGAAGGCGGGUCUCUGGGCCGAUAUUGACGCUGAGGAGCGAAAGCGUGGGGAGCGAACAGG